AUUGAACGCUGGCGGCAGGCUUAACACAUGCAAGUCGAGCGGGGUGAUGGUGCUUGCACUAUCACUUAGCGGCGGACGGGUGAGUAAUGUUUAGGAAUCUGCCUAUUAGUGGGGGACAACAUCUCGAAAGGGAUGCUAAUACCGCAUACGUCCUACGGGAGAAAGCAGGGGAUCACUUGUGACCUUGCGCUAAUAGAUGAGCCUAAGUCGGAUUAGCUAGUUGGUGGGGUAAAGGCCUACCAAGGCGACGAUCUGUAGCGGGUCUGAGAGGAGGAGACGCCACACUGGGCCUGAGACACGGCCCUGACUCCUACGGGAGGGAGCAGUGGGGUAUAUUGGACAAUGGGGGGAACCCUGAUCCAGCCAUGCCGCGUGUGUGAAGAAGGCAUUAUGGUUGUAAAGCACUUUAAGCGAGGAGGAGACUCUUUUGGUUAAUACCCAAGAGGAGAGGACGUUACUCGCAGAAUAAGCACCGGCUAACUCUGUGCCAGCAGCCGCCGUAA
rnacentral:rRNA from 1 species